CAGAAACACAAACCGUGCACUGUGAGCUCACCCUAACAAAUACGGGGUGAUUGGAAAAGACCAGUACAAUAGCCAGGUAUUGUCUUAAAGUAAUUAUCGAGCAUUCCUGGCCAGGCGGCAGUGUUUGGUCAAAAACCUGGAUGUCAGCAACCAUGCCACCAUCAAGUCUGCUUUUUUAAUGAGACAGACUCACCUCGUUAGCUGUGUUAUGGGUGCCGACUAUACGGAUAAAGGUCAUAGGUAGAGGCUUGAACUCGAGGUGCUGCCACGCCCUGGACACAGAAGCAUGGACAAUCAAGCAACUCCUUUUAUAGUAGGACUUGAGCUAUCUUGGCCAACAAUGUCACAGUUCAGGGAUGUACCAUGCCUUGAAAUAUUGGGGGGGGGGGGGACAAUAAGCUACAAUACAGAAACAUUAAGAAAAUAUUGGGUGGGCACAGCCACGCCCCUACUGGUCAUUUACUUUGUAAUUUUUGAAAAUUUGGGGGGGGGGGGGCACUUGCCCUUUAGGAGGGUCUUUCCUGCUCUUAUGAGUACUGAGGCAUUUCUUUGCCAUGCUGGUUGGCUACUGAAGAUAGUAUAAUAUCUCUCACAUCUUCAACUGUCAAGAGGGCCAAACUAGUGCAUCUUGCAUGAGAUAGCUGAACAUCCAUUAUGAGAAAGGGAAAAAAAGAAAUUUCCCCUUGUGCUCCAAAGGUGUCCAUUUAUAAAAACUAGAUAUAAAAGAACUUGCCUAAACAGGACAUGGUCUUACCCAAACUGAAACCAAAACAUUAUCUGAGUUCACAGAAAAAGAUAUCAGAAGAAGAAGUGGAUAAAUUAAUUGAUUAAAGUAUGAUAUGAAGGUUUUUAAUGGUAAGAGAGAAUUUUAGGGCUGGAAUUUUAGAUUUGAUAGUUUGGACAAUUUACUACGAAGGCUCCAGUAGUGUUGAUUUGUUUACAUUUUCUUCCUAUUUUCUUUUCUAUAAAAUGGUUCACAAAUGAAGAAAAGUUCUCAGAAAGCAUCCAAGACAUGAAAAAAGAGAAGCUACAGCUUUUUUUAUGUCCCAAUUCAGGAAAAAAAGGGGACCUUUCAGGGUUAAUUCCCUCAACAUGAUCCGUGCAGCAAUGAGAAAUAAAAAUAAUAAGUCGGCAAGAAAUAAUUAUAGAUGAAAGUAUAUGAAUGCAUUUGAACUAAAAUAAUCAAGUCAAUCGAUAUUGCAUUUGCAAUGCAUGCCAGAAAGUGAGGAGGUUAAAACAAAGAGCUAUUUGAAUUCUUGUUAAAACUCUGAAUAAAGUUGUGAAUAAAGCUGAUAUCAAGUUA